AAACUUACCAGGUCAAGACAUGGGCGUGAUUGACAGGCUAAUGACUUUUCUCGAUUCCAUGGAUGGUGGUGCAUGGUCGCAGUUAGUUGGUGCAGUGAUUUGUCAGGUUUAUUCCGGUAACGAACGAGACCUCGGCCUUGUAAAUAGCUAUGCUGCUUACAGGGACAUUGGCGGCUACGCCAAGGAAGCUCGAGGCAAUUGCAGAUCUGGAAUGCCCUUAGAUGUCCUGGGUCGCACGCGUGCUACAAUGACGCCACGAACGAGCUUGCGUGAUGAAAGUUACGCAUAAUCAGCAGUCGGCGUCUUAAGGGAUAGUCUCUUGUAACUGUGGGACUCCAACUAGGAAUGUCUCGUAAGCACAAGUCAACAUCUUGUGUUGAUUACGUCCCUGCUCUUUGUACACACCGCCCGUCGCUCCUACCGAUCGAGUGUUUAAUGAAUUUGAUGGACGUAAGGAAGUCAAAUAAACCUGAGCACUAGAGGAAGGAAAGUCAAAUGGC
rnacentral:rRNA from 1 species